rnacentral:rRNA from 1 species
UACAGAGGGUGCGAGCGUUAAUCGGAAUUACUGGGCGUAAAGCGCACGUAGGUGGCGAACGUAAGUCGGGUGGUGAAAGCCCCCGGGCUCAACCUGGGAAUUGCAUUCGAGACUGCAUUGCUGGAGUACGGAAGAGGAAGGCGGAAUUCCGUGGUGUAGCGGUGAAAUGCGCAGAAUAUCAGGAAGAACACCCGGUGGCGAAGGCGGCUCUCGUGGGAGCGGUACUGACGGCUGAGACGCGAAAGCGUGGGGAGCGAACAGG